UUGCAGGCUGGUAAGUUUUGGCCUCCCAAGUUGUUGAGGGCAGAUCUCACUGUAGCUUGGUGGAUCUUUCUGGCCCGUGGAGCCACCACAGUUCAGCCAGGAGAGGGGAUACAUGCUCUGCUGCGGAUGGUGGGGUUUCUGGGGCAGCUGUGACUCUUGGAUGCUCUCUUUCUUUCUCCUGUUAUCUCUACAGAUGAAAACCAGCGUGUCCACUGGUGAGACGAACUGUUCCGUGAGCCGGGGCCAGGAAAAGGCAGCAAACAAAAUGAACAGUCAGCCGAGUAGCGUUUGCUGGAGAUUUACGUGGAAACCUGCUCACAGAUGCAGGGCUGCUGGAUUUAUAACAAGGGUAAAAGAGGAAAAUGCCUUUGUGUUUACACAUGAGCCAGAGGGAAAGGGGAGCAGUGCAUCUUAAGGUAUGAUAUGCAGAAGUGACCCCAAAACUCCCCAGGGGAAAGACCAAAUCCCUGAUCAGGACUCUUCCAGUCACAAGUGACAGAAAUCUAACUCAUUUCUCUUGAGAUUGAAUUGGGCUAUGUGAGAAAGCAUCUCACUUUAUUUAUUUUAUUUUAUUAUUUUUUAAAAUUUUUAUUUAUUUAUGAUAGCCACACAGAGAGAGAGAGAGAGAGGCAGAGACAUAGGCAGAGGGAGAAGCAGGCUCCAUGCACUGGGAGCCCGAUGUGGGAUUCGAUCCCGGGUCUCCAGGAUCGCGCCCUGGGCCGAAGGCAGGUGCCAAACCACUGCGCCACCCAGGGAUCCCAGCAUCUCACUUUAGACAGGUGUCUUGAAACCAAUUUUCUGUUUUUCCAGUACAACAAUUCUGUAGUUAGAAGGUCACCAGUAUUGCUUUAGCAGCUCACCAAAAUCAGGUCUGGUACCUUUGUGAUUCAUUUUUAUGUUCUUUUUUGAGAACCCAGUGUCUCAAAAGAGCUGCCGUGGUGCCAGUCAUCAUACCUGCAUUCUAGUAAGGAAGGUGGAAAGUGGUGGAAAGCGAUAUGGUCUGCCUUCUCAAUUGUUAUGUUCUCCUUAAAGGCUUCCACUGUGUCACAUGACCACAUCUAGCUGCCAGGGAGAUGGACAGAGCAUUUAGGGGUGGAACGUUGCCCCCCUGCACAAGAUUUUUCAGUCAAGGGAGGAGGAGUGACUGGACAUUAGAAGUGCACUGAACAAUCUUGCACAGCAGAUUAGGCAAAAUCCAGGAGACAGUGGCUUCAGGAGAAAGACAAAAAUAAGUGGCUUCAAGAAAGAAGAGUUAGCUUUUGCUGAAUAACAAGCCACUACAAAACUCAGUGUUUUUUUUUUUAACUCAGUGUUUUUUAAAGCUUAAGUUUAAACAAACAUCUAUUUGCUUAUGAAUCUGUGGAUUGGCAACUCCUGUGGGAGACUCACCUAUGCUCCAUGCGGCAUUCUCUAGGCUUAGUGUUGCAUCCAUGACCUUAGCCAGAUGGCUGGGACAGCUGGGUUCUUCUUUCUACACAGUCUCUUGUUCUACUGUCACCUUCUUUAUAUGGUAGCAGGACCCAGGGACCUACAAGUUAUUUAUUGUAGAACAACAAAUCACUCCAAGACUUGGUGAAAUAAAC
rnacentral:lncRNA from 1 species